AAAGUACUCCCUCCGUCCCAAAAUUCUUUUCUUAGAUUUGUCUAGAUACGGAUGUAUCAAGUCACAUUUUAGUAUUAGAUACAUCCGUAUCUAGACAAAUCUAAGACAAGAAAUUUGGGACAGAGGGAGUAGUUG
rfam:Triticum aestivum genome assembly, contig: Triticum_aestivum_CS42_TGACv1_scaffold_436448_5DL